rnacentral:rRNA from 1 species
GACGAACGCUGGCGGCGUGCCUAAUACAUGCAAGUCGAACGCUUCUUUCCUCCCGAGUGCUUGCACUCAAUUGGAAAGAGGAGUGGCGGACGGGUGAGUAACACGUGGGUAACCUACCCAUCAGUGGGGGAUAACACGUGGAAACAGGUGCUAAUACCGCAUAACAGUUUAUGCCGCAUGGCAUAAGAGUGAAAGGCGCUUUCGGGUGUCGUUGAUGGAUGGACCCGCGGUGCAUUAGAUAGUUGGGGAGGUAACGGCACACCAAGGCCACGAUGCAUAGCCGAACGCAGAGAGUGAUAGCCGACCUUGGGGCGGGACCGCGGCCAAGGGUCCUGCGAGAGGCAGCAGUAGGGAAUCGUCGGCAAUGGACGAAAGUCUGACCGAGCAAGGCCACGUGAGUGAAGAAGGUGUCCGGAUCGUAAAGCUGUGUUGUGAGAGAAAAACAAGUACGUUAGGAAAUGAACGGCGACUGACGGUAACUAACCAGAAAGCAACGGCUAACUACGUG